rnacentral:rRNA from 1 species
UUGGAGGGCAAGUCUGGUGCCAGCAGCCGCGGUAAUUCCAGCUCCAAUAGCGUAUAUUAAAGUUGUUGCAGUUAAAAAGCUCGUAGUUGAAUUUCGGGGUCAGCAGGUUGGUCGUGCCACUGGUAUGCACUGGCCUUGCUGAUUCCUCCCUCUUGAUGAGCCGUAAUGUCAUUAAUUUGGUGUUGCGGGGAAUCAGGACUGUUACUUUGAAAAAAUUAGAGUGUUUAAAGCAGGCAAGCGCUUGAAUACAUUAGCAUGGAAUAAUGAAAUAGGACGUUUGAUCCUAUUUUGUUGGUUUCUAGGAUUGACGUAAUGAUUAAUAGGGAUAGUUGGGGGCAUUAGUAUUCAAUUGUCAGAGGUGAAAUUCUUGGAUUUAUUGAAGACUAACUACUGCGAAAGCAUUUGCCAAGGAUGUUUUCAUUAAUCAAGAACGAAAGUUAGGGGAUCGAAGACGAUCAGAUACCGUCGUAGUCUUAACCAUAAACUAUGCCGACUAGGGAUCGGAUGAUGUUAAUUUUUUAAUGACUCAUUCGGCGCCUUACGGGAAAC